rnacentral:snRNA from 1 species
CUUAAUUCUUGGCCUUUUGGCUAAGAUCAAGUGUAUUAUCUGUUCUUAUCAAUUUAAUAUCUGCUACGUCCUCUCUCAGAGUUGUUUUCAAGCUCUGCGGCUUUCCAGGAGAGAGGGCGGCUGGCAUAGCCACACCCCGG